ACUCCUACGGGAGGCAGCAGUAAGGAAUAUUGCGCAAUGGGCGAAAGCCUGACGCAGCGACGCCGCGUGGGGGAUGAAGGUCUUCGGAUUGUAAACCCCUUUCGGGAGGGAAGAUGGAAUGGGGUAACCCAUUCGGACGGUACCUCCAGAAGCAGCCACGGCUAACUUCGUGCCAGCAGCCGCGGUAAUACGAAGGUGGCAAGCGUUGUUCGGAUUUACUGGGCGUACAGGGAGCGUAGGCGGUUCGGUAAGCCCUCUGUGAAAUCUCCAGGCUUAACCUGGAACAGUCGGAGGGGACUGCUGGGCUAGAGGACGGGAGAGGAGAGCGGAAUUCCCGGUGUAGCGGUGAAAUGCGUAGAGAUCGGGAGGAAGGCCGGUGGCGAAGGCGGCGCUCUGGAACGUUUCUGACGCUGAGGCUCGAAAGCGUGGGGAGCAAACAGGAUUAGAUACCCUGGUAGUCCACGCCUUAAACUAUGAAUACU
rnacentral:rRNA from 1 species